UGCAGUCGAGGGGUAACAUUGUGCUUGCACAGAUGACGACCGGCGCACGGGUGCGUAACGCGUAUAGAAUCUACCUUUUACAGGGGGAUAGCCUUUAGAAAUGAAGAUUAAUAUCCCAUAGUAUUGAGACUUGGCAUCAAGACUUAAUUAAAGAUUUAUCGGUAAAAGAUGACUAUGCGUCCUAUUAGCUAGAUGGUAAGGUAAUGGCUUACCAUGGCUACGAUAGGUAGGGGUCCUGAGAGGGAGAUCCCCCACACUGGUACUGAGACACGGACCAGACUCCUACGGGAGGCAGCAGUGAGGAAUAUUGGGCAAUGGAGGUAACUCUGACCCAGCCAUGCCGCGUGCAGGAAGACUGCCCUAUGGGUUGUAAACUGCUUUUAUACAGGAAGAAACACUGGUAUGUAUACCAGCUUGACGGUACUGUAAGAAUAAGGACCGGCUAACUCCGUGCCAGCA
rnacentral:rRNA from 1 species